GGCGCCUUGGGCCUCUGGGGAAGCAGGGGCAGCAGCUUCAGUGAGCACUGUCCGGGGCCAGUAAGGAGGUCUUUGGCACUCAGGAUAAGGAAAAAGAAGAAGGAAUGUGAGCAGGGAAGAGCUGAAGGAGCAGUGGAUCAAAUCACAGAGGCGAAUCUAAUACAACGCCAACACAAAUGAGAGCUCUUCGACUGAAGGAAGCCCUUGGUCAACAAUAUUCAAAUGAUGUUUAUAAACCCUUCACCAAAGUAGGAAAAAUAAGAAAACAUGACUGCAGUCACAUUGAUCCCAGAACUUUUCCUACAGAUUUGCUCAGAGGCUGAUACCACCCAGAUCCCAACACAUCUCAUACGCCUGCAGCAACUGUGUCUUCCAGCACCUGCAAAGCUAAUGUCUCAGCUGCACACCAGGCAGACAGGCGGGCGGCACCAGGCACUCCUUGCAUGGACAGAUGCUGCUCGCCGGGCCCCUCCCUGGACACAGACUGAUCUAAUUGGAAGCCUCACCCAGAGCUUGGGGUUCUGCACCUUAGAAAUUCAAGAAUGUGCUCUCAUAGAUGGUUUUUAAAUUAAAACCACAUACUUAAAAAAUAAAUGGCAGAGAGGAGA